CCGACAGUUUCUCCGGCUGGUGCCAAAAAUGACAUUCUUUGGCAGGGCACAGGGCUGCUGUAAAGCACUACUCAGGAACACAAUGUUCGGGACGCUGGAUGCAGCAAAGAAGCACUCUUAGAUUAAACAAGACCAAUGUGAUAACUGCUGAGCUCUUAUGGAAAACAACACAGUCGAAGCAUUACUACUGUUGAAAUAUUACUGUAACAUUACAGGAACAGUCACUUAGUGAAGUUGUCCUCUUUUUUGGUCCACUUUGCCGAGUGAUUGAUUGACACUUCCUCCAGCCAAUAGGCCACUCAAUCUCCUGGCUGUGGUCCUGGCCCAACAGAGGGGAGAUGAGAGUUAUUCUGCCUGCAAUGCCAAGGGUAAUGAGAACAACGCCACCACUGUAUCUGGCUUCCCGGGGUCUGUGCCAGUCUACGGGCCUCUCUCUCCAUCCAUGGCCGAGCUCCCCUCACCCUCAGUCAGCCACGGAUGGAGAUGGUAGUAGGGCUAGGAUAGAGGAUGGAGAUGGUAGUAGGGCUGGGUUAGAGGAUGGAGACGGUAGUAUGGCUGUGUGUGGUAGGGCUGGGAUAUAGGAUGGAGAUGGUGGUAUGGCUGUGUGUGGUAGGGCUGGGUUAGAGGAUGGAGAUGGCAGUAUGGCUGUGUGUGGUAGGGCUGGGAUAGAGGAUGGAGAUGGUAGUAUGGCUGUGUGUGGUAGGGCUGGGAUAGAGGAUGGAGAUGGCAGUAUGGCUGUGUGGUAGGGCUGGGAUAGAGGAUGGAGAUGGUAGUAUGGCUGGGUUAGAGGAUGGAGAUGCUAGUAUGGCUGGGAUAGAGGAUGGAGAUGGUAGUAUGGCUGGGAUAGAGGAUGGAGAUGGUAGUAGGGCUGGGAUAGAGGAUGGAGAUGGUAGUAUGGCUGUGUGUGGUAGGGCUGGGAUAGAGGAUGGAGAUGGCAGUAUGGCUGUGUGGUAGGGCUGGGAUAGAGGAUGGAGAUGGUAGUAUGGCUGGGUUAGAGGAUGGAGAUGGUAGUAUGGCUUGGAUAGAGGAUGGAGAUGGUAGUAUGGCUUGGAUAGAGGAUGGAGAUGGUAGUAUGGCUGUGUGUGGUAGGGCUGGGAUAGAGGAUGGAGAUGGUGGUAUGGCUGUGUGUGAGAUGGUAGUGGGAUAGAGGAUGGAGAUGGUAGUAUGGCUGGGAUAGAGGAUGGAGAUGGUAGUAUGGCUGUGUGUGGUAGGGCUGGGAUAUAGGAUGGAGAUGGUGGUAUGGCUGUGUGUGGUAGAGCUGGGUUAGAGGAUGGAGAUGGCAGUAUGGCUGUGUGGUAGGGCUGGGAUAGAGGAUGGAGAUGGUAGUAUGGCUGUGUGUGGUAGGGCUGGGAUAGAGGAUGGAGAUGGUAGUAUGUCUGUGUGUGGUAGGGCUGCGAUAGAGGAUGGAGAUGGCAGUAUGGCUGGGAUAGAGGAUGGAGAUGGUAGUAUGGCUGGGUUAGAGGAUGGAGAUGGUAGUAUGGCUGGGUUAGAGGAUGGAGAUGGUAGUAUGGCUGGGAUAGAGGAUGGAGAUGGUAGUAUGGCUUGGAUAGAGGAUGGAGAUGGUAGUAUGGCUUGGAUAGAGGAUGGAGAUGGUAGUAUGGCUGUGUGUGGUAGGGCUGGGAUAGAGGAUGGAGAUGGUGGUAUGGCUGUGUGUGGUAGGGCUGGGAUAGAGGAUGGAGAUGGUAGUAUGG
ensembl:lncRNA